rnacentral:rRNA from 1 species
AUUGAACGCUGGCGGCAGGCCUAACACAUGCAAGUCGAGCGGCAGCGGGAAAGUAGCUUGCUACUUUUGCCGGCGAGCAGCGGACGGGUGAGUAAUGCCUGGGAAAUUGCCCAGCCGAGGGGAUAACAGUUGGAAACGACUGCUAAUACCGCAUACGCCCUACGGGGGAAAGCAGGGGACCUUCGGGCCUUGCGCGGUUGGAUCUGCCCAGGUGGGAUUAGCUAGUUGGUGAGGUAAUGGCUCACCAAGGCGACGACCCCUAGCUGGUCUGAGAGGAUGAUCAGCCAGUCUGUAACUGGGACGCGGUCCAGACUCCUACGGGAGGGAGCAGUGGGGAAUAUUGCACAAUGGGGGAAACCCUGAUGCAGCCAUGCCGCGUGUGUGAAGCAGCCCUUCGGGUUGGAAAGCACUUUCAGCGAGGAGGAAAGGUUGAUGCCUAAUACGUAUCAACUGUGACGUUACUCGCAGAAGAAGCACCGGCUAACUCCGUGCCAGCCGCCGCCGUAA